GGCUCUAUAGUGUAGUGGUUAGUACGUCUGCUUUACACACAUAAAUUCCUGGGUUCAUGCCCGAGGUGGAGCCA
rnacentral:tRNA from 1 species